AGUGAACGCUGGCGGUAGGCCUAACACAUGCAAGUCGAACGGCAGCACAGUAAGAGCUUGCUCUUACGGGUGGCGAGUGGCGGACGGGUGAGGAAUACAUCGGAAUCUACUUUUUCGUGGGGGAUAACGUAGGGAAACUUACGCUAAUACCGCAUACGACCUACGGGUGAAAGCAGGGGAUCUUCGGACCUUGCGCGAUUGAAUGAGCCGAUGUCGGAUUAGCUAGUUGGCGGGGUAAAGGCCCACCAAGGCGACGAUCCGUAGCUGGACUGAGAGGAUGAUAGGCGGCACUGGAACGGGAACACGGUCCAGGCGCCUGCGGGAGGCAGCAGUGGGGAAUAUUGGACAAUGGGCGCAAGCCUGAUCCAGCCAUACCGCGUGGGUGAAGGAGGCCUUCGGGUUGUAAAGCCCUUUUGUUGGGAAAGAAAGGCAGCAGGUUGAUACCCCGCUGUUCUGACGGUACCCAAAGAAUAAGCACCGGCUAACUUCGUG
rnacentral:rRNA from 1 species